UACAGGGGGGGCAAGCGUUGUUCGGAAUUACUGGGCGUAAAGGGUCUGUAGGUGGCCAACUAAGUCAGACGUGAAAUCCCUCAGCUUAACUGGGGAACUGCGUCUGAUACUGGAUGGCUUGAGUGUGGGAGAGGAAUGCGGAAUUCCAGGUGUAGCGGUGAAAUGCGUAGAUAUCUGGAGGAACACCGGUGGCGAAGGCGGCAUUCUGGACCGAUAUUGACGCUGAGGAGCGAAAGCCAGGGGAGCAAACGGGG
rnacentral:rRNA from 1 species